AUACGUAGGGAGCAAGCGUUAUCCGGAUUUACUGGGUGUAAAGGGCGCGUAGGCGGGACUGCUAAGUCAGGUGUGAAAUCUGGUGGCUCAACCACCAACUGCACUUGAAACUGUGGUUCUUGAGUGAUGGAGAGGCAAGUGGAAUUCCUAGUGUAGCGGUGAAAUGCGUAGAUAUUAGGAGGAACACCAGUGGCGAAGGCGGCCUACUGGGCUCUAACUGACGCUGAGGCUCGAAAGUGUGGGGAGC
rnacentral:rRNA from 1 species